ACGGAGGGGGCUAGCGUUGUUCGGAAUUACUGGGCGUAAAGCGCACGUAGGCGGCUUUGUAAGUUAGAGGUGAAAGCCCAGGGCUCAACCCUGGAAUUGCCUUUAAGACUGCAUCGCUUGAACAUCGGAGAGGUAAGUGGAAUUCCGAGUGUAGAGGUGAAAUUCGUAGAUAUUCGGAAGAACACCGGUGGCGAAGGCGGCCUGCUGGGCUAUAGCUGACACUGAGGCGCGACAGCGUGGGGAGCAAACAGGA
rnacentral:rRNA from 1 species